rnacentral:rRNA from 1 species
UACGUAGGGGGCAAGCGUUGUCCGGAAUCAUUGGGCGUAAAGAGCGCGUAGGCGGCCCAGUAAGUCCGCUCUGAAAGUCAGAGGCUCAACCUCUGAAUGCGGGUGGAUACUGCUGGGCUAGAGUCCGGAAGAGGCGAGUGGAAUUCCUGGUGUAGCGGUGAAAUGCGCAGAUAUCAGGAAGAACACCCGUGGCUAAGGCGGCUCUCUAGUACGGUACUGACGCUGAGACGCGAAAGCGUGGGGAGCAAACAGG